UGUAUGUUGGUUGGCCUGAGAAUCAGUGGCUGGCCAGAGUCUCCCAGGGAACUUCCUGGCCAACUGGGGACUAGAAC